rnacentral:rRNA from 1 species
AACGAACGCUGGCGGCAUGCCUAACACAUGCAAGUCGAACGAGACCUUCGGGUCUAGUGGCGCACGGGUGCGUAACGCGUGGGAACCUGCCCUUAGGUUCGGAAUAACUCCCCGAAAGGGGUGCUAAUACCGGAUAAUGUCUUCGGACCAAAGAUUUAUCGCCUUUGGAUGGGCCCGCGUUGGAUUAGCUAGUUGGUAGGGUAAAAGCCUACCAAGGCGACGAUCCAUAGCUGGUCUGAGAGGAUGAUCAGCCACGCUGGGACUGAGACACGGCCCAGACUCCUACGGGAGGCAGCAGUGGGGAAUAUUGGACAAUGGACGAAAGCCUGAUCCAGCAAUGCCGCGUGAGUGAUGAAGGCCUUAGGGUUGUAAAGCUCUUUUACCCGGGAUGAUAAUGACAGUACCGGGAGAAUAAGCUCCGGCUAACUCCGUG